rnacentral:misc_RNA from 2 species
GACCGGGUCUUAGUAUAUACGAGUUUUUUUAAAAUAAAAAGGAGCAAUAACCUCUUUCUUGUUCUAUCAAGAAAGAGGGCGGUAUUGCUCCUUUUUUUAUUUAUUUUUUAUUUACUAGUAUUUACCUAGUUUGUUUAAAAAAUUUUAGACAACCGUCUUUUUUUUCUUUUUAUGGGUUCGUUCAUGAUUGAUUAUCAUACUUUCAUUCUAUACAAUUUGGCUACCUUCUUCCCAACAUUUUGGGAAGUAUUAAAAAAAAGUAUUAAAUUAUUUUGAAUGAUCAAAAAGGAAUCUUUGGAAAUGCAAAUAAAAGAAAACUGGGG